rnacentral:RNase_P_RNA from 1 species
CGGGCAGGACAGACAGUCGCCGCGCGGGCUUCACAGCCUGCGGGGAGGAAAGUCCGGGCUGCACAGGGCGGGAUGCCGGCUAACGGCCGGGCGCGGCAACGCGACGGAAAGUGGAACAGAAAGCCAAACCGCCGAUGGCCUGCACCGGCAGGCACAGGCAAGGGUGAAAAGGUGCGGUAAGAGCGCACCGUGCGCUUGGCAACAAGACGCAGCAGGCCAAACCCCAUCCGCAGCAAGACCAAACAGAACGCAUUGACGCGGCCCGCCGAGCGUUCGGGUAGGUUGCUUGAGUGUGCCGGCAACGGCACGCCUAGAUGAAUGACUGUCCGCGACAGAACCCGGCUUACCGUCCUGCCCGUGUG